rnacentral:rRNA from 1 species
GACGAACGCUGGCGGCGUGCUUAACACAUGCAAGUCGAACGGAAAGGCCCUGCUUUUGUGGGGUGCUCGAGUGGCGAACGGGUGAGUAACACGUGAGUAACCUGCCCUUGACUUUGGGAUAACUUCAGGAAACUGGGGCUAAUACCGGAUAGGAGCUCCUGCUGCAUGGUGGGGGUUGGAAAGUUUCGGCGGUUGGGGAUGGACUCGCGGCUUAUCAGCUUGUUGGUGGGGUAGUGGCUUACCAAGGCUUUGACGGGUAGCCGGCCUGAGAGGGUGACCGGGCAGAUGGGAAGAGGAAGAAGGCACGGACACGAACGGGAAGCGGCGGAGGGGGGUGGAGGACGAUGGGCGGGGAGCAAGCGCGGUAAGGCCAGGAGGAGGGAGAGGGGAAGGGAGUUGGAGACCAAAGUCGCCUGAAAAGGGGGGAGAGUGACGGUAAAGGGUAAAGAAGCUCCGGCUAACUAAGUG